UUAUGCGGUGGUGGAGUUCCAAAAUGGCGGACUAGCGGUAAUAUCCACGAAGUGGUUUACAGGCCCGGAAGAAGAAGAAUGCUACUGGCCACCCCCGAAAACCAACUUCACAAGGGCAGCAAUAAAGGAACGAGAUCCUUCCAGUGACUGGAUAACCUUCAAAGUCACAGUGAGGAGAAAAGCUGCAACAUAUGAAAGUGCACAUGCAAAAUUAAUGCAAGAGGAACGUAGACAUACUGACGUAGGUACAGAGCCUGAGUGUUCGGACAGUAUGGGCCGGGGGAAGCGAAAAAAGCGGGGCCUUGAAGAAAAACACGGUGACUCAUACCAUCACGAGGAAGGAUGCGGUCUCCAAAUGGCUCAUUGGGGCUAGGGACGG